rnacentral:rRNA from 1 species
GAAAGUAAGCAAGGGCAGACGGUGGAUGCCUUGGCUCUCGGAGGCGAUGAAGGACGUGAUAAGCUGCGAUAAGCUUGGGGUAGGUGCAAAUAACCUUUGAUCCCAAGAUUUCCGAAUGGGGCAACCCGGCUGGUAGAAGGCCAGUCAUUCCGUAAGGAAGGCGAACGUGGGGAACUGAAACAUCUAAGUACCCAUAGGAGAAGAAAACAAAAGUGAUUCCGCAAGUAGUGGCGAGCGAACGCGGAACAGCCCAAACCGAUGAUGUUUAGGCAUUGUCGGGGUAGUAGGACCACGUUGUGGCAAGAGAUUAAGGAAGUAGAACGUUUUGGAACAAACGGCCGUAGACGGUGAAAGCCCGGUAUACGACUCUUUAACGAAGCCUAGUGGAAUCCUGAGUAGCGCGGAGCACGAGAAAUUCUGUGUGAAUCAGCGGGGCCCAUCCCGUAAGGCUAAAUACUCCCGAGAGACCGAUAGCGAACCAGUACUGUGAAGGAAAGGUGAAAAGCACCUCGAACAGAGGAGUGAAAUAGUCCCUGAAACCGUCUGCCUACAAGCGGUCGGAGCAACGUAAGUUGUGACGGCGUGCCUUUUGCAUAAUGAACCUACGAGUUACUUUCUCCGGCAAGGUUAAGGGCUUCAGGCCCGGAGCCGAAGCGAAAGCGAGUCUUAAUAGGGCGUGAUAGUCGGAGUGAGUAGACGCGAAACCAAGUGAUCUACCCUUGGUCAGGAUGAAGGUUGGGUAACACCAACUGGAGGUCCGAAUGGGUAUACGUUGAAAAGUGUUCCAAUGAACUGAGGGUAGGGGUGAAAGGCUAAUCAAACUUGGAGAUAGCUCGUACUCCCCGAAAUGCAUUUAGGUGCAGCCUUUAUUUAGUAUAGCAUGAGGUAGAGCGACUGAUUGGAUGCGAGGGCUUCACCGCCUAUCAAGUCCAGAUAAACUCCGAAUGCGUGCUAUAUAUUGAUAAGGAGUGAGGGCGCGGGUGCUAAGGUCCGCGUCCGAGAGGAGAAGAAUCCAGACCAUCAGCUAAGGUCCCCAAAUAACAGUUAAGUUGAACUAACGAAGUCGGACUGCAGAGACAGCUAGGAUGUUGGCUUGGAAGCAGCCAUUCAUUUAAAGAGUGCGUAACAGCUCACUAGUCGAGGAGUCCGGCGUGGAUAAUACUCGGGCAUAAACUGUUUACCGAAGCUAUGGAUGUGUAAACACAUGGUAGGGGAGCAUUCCAACGGCGUCGAAGGUGAAGGAUGACCUUUGCUGGAGCUUUUGGAAACGCAAAUGUAGGUAUAAGUAACGAUAAAGGAGGUGAGAAACCUCCUCGCCGAAAGACUAAGGUUUCCUGAUCAACGUUAAUCGGAUCAGGGUAAGUCGGGACCUAAGGUUAAGCCGAACGGCGAUACCGAUGGAAGAAUGGUUUAAUAUUCCCAUACUACUUUAUGGAGCGAUGUGGAGACGGAGAAGUGACAGUCCUGCCAUCUGACGGAAUAGGUGGUUGAAGAGUGUAGAUGUAGAUUCCUGUAGGCAAAUCCGCAGGGAGAGUCGACCUUGACAGUAUGCCGCGUGCUUGCACAAGGCAAAAUGGACGUAAUCAGGCUCCCAAGAAAAUCCGCUAAGCAUAUUCAUAAAGUACCCGUACCGUAAACGGACACACGUAGUUGGGUUGAAAAUACUGAGGCGCUCGAGUGAUUCACGGUUAAGGAACUAGGCAAAUUGACCCUGUAACUUCGGGAUAAAGGGUCCCUACUGAGAGGUAGGGCGCAGAGAAUAGGUCCAGGCAACUGUUUAACAAAAACACAUGGCUGUGCGAAAUAGAAACAUGAAGUAUACAGCCUGACACCUGCCCGGUGCUGGAAGGUUAAGAGGAGAGCUCAUCGCAAGAGAAGGCUUGAAUUGAAGCCCCAGUAAACGGCGGCCGUAACUAUAACGGUCCUAAGGUAGCGAAAUUCCUUGUCGGGUAAGUUC